rnacentral:lncRNA from 1 species
AAACUCCACGGAGAAACAAAGGGGCAAAGGGGAAAAGUGCACAAGAAGAGAAUCCAUCCAUUUCAAGGAUUGUUCUUGCUGCUAACAAGAACGGGCCUCAGGUGGAUCAAGUCCCCUUAGAUUUGGUGGAACCUGGGCUCCAUUUCCAGCUGCAGGGACAGCUCAGAACUCCCAUGUUUCCUCAAAAGGUUCCCUCCUGCUGCUCACCUGAGCUGCCUGUCCCAGCACACAGCCACCAUCACCAGCAGGUUCCCCAAGAUGGCCAUCAGGAUAACCGUCGAGAGAAACGUGAGCAGCACCACCUUCUCCACUGACCCGAAACCCUCCUCAGAACUGAAAGACACACACAAGCACAAAGAAUUGAAUGAAACUCUGGGACACAAGAAGGAAAAUUCGUCUUUUCAUCAUUGACCUUCAGAAAGGUUUCUUGAGAGACUAAACAUACAAAUGGACAAUGGCCAGACCAUGUGUAACAAUAAAACUCCGAUGGACAAUCUCUGGCAGCCAGCCCAGAACGAUCAGGACUUGUUCAAUGACUGCGAGCUAGCUUCCCCCUUUUUUAACCCUCUUACCUGCUUCCAACUCAAGACUAACAACAGAAUGCCAAAGACACUGCUCCCCAAAGCAAUUACGUAAGAUGCCUCACUGCUUGUUAGUGCACCUCCUGCUUCAAUGUGCCAACAACCUCCAAUCAGAAGAUAGCAGAAGCCUUCUUUUCCCCGCUUAUAAAGCUUUUUUACUCCCCUGCCUGUCUUUGAGACUUUGCUAAAUUCCAAGGAUGGUGGCUGAUCCUCUUGCUUUAUCAUGCUCUGAAUAAAUUGCUUGUUUGUUCUCA